GAUGAACGCUAGCUACAGGCUUAACACAUGCAAGUCGAGGGGCAGCACAGUGUAGCAAUACAUGGGUGGCGACCGGCGCACGGGUGCGUAACGCGUAUCCAACCUUCCCGUUACUCUUGGAUAGCCUUCCGAAAGGGAGAUUAAUACAAGAUGGUAUUCAAAUUCCGCAUGUUAUUUGAAUUAAAGAUUUAUCGGUAACGGAUGGGGAUGCGCGACAUUAGAUAGUAGGCGGGGUAACGGCCCACCUAGUCUACGAUGUCUAGGGGUUCUGAGAGGAAGGUCCCCCACACUGGAACUGAGACACGGUCCAGACUCCUACGGGAGGCAGCAGUGAGGAAUAUUGGUCAAUGGUCGGAAGACUGAACCAGCCAAGUAGCGUGAAGGAUGAAGGUUCUAUGGAUUGUAAACUUCUUUUAUACGGGAAUAAAACCUCCCACGUGUGGGAGCUUGUAUGUACCGUAUGAAUAAGCAUCGGCUAACUCCGUGCCAGCCGCCGCGGUAACAC
rnacentral:rRNA from 1 species